AUUGAACGCUGGCGGCAUGCUUUACACAUGCAAGUCGAACGGCAGCGCGGGCUUCGGCCUGGCGGCGAGUGGCGAACGGGUGAGUAAUACAUCGGAACGUGCCCAGUAGUGGGGGAUAGCUCGGCGAAAGCCGGAUUAAUACCGCAUACGACCUGAGGGUGAAAGCGGGGGAUCUUCGGACCUCGCGCUAUUGGAGCGGCCGAUGGCAGAUUAGCUAGUUGGUGGGGUAAAGGCCUACCAAGGCGACGAUCUGUAGCUGGUCUGAGAGGACGACCAGCCACCUUGGGGCUGAGCCAGGGCCCAGGGUCCUACGGGAGGCAGCAGUGGGGAAUUGUGGACAAUGGGCGGAAGCCUGAUCCAGCAAUGCGGCGUGUGUGAUGAAGGCCUUCGGGUUGGAAAGCACUUUUGGCGGGAACGAAAAGGACUGUGCCAAUACCACGGUUCGAUGACGGUACCGGCAGAAUAAGCACCGGCUAACUACGUG
rnacentral:rRNA from 1 species